rnacentral:rRNA from 1 species
UACGUAGGGCGCAAGCGUUAUCCGGAAUUAUUGGGCGUAAAGAGCUCGUAGGCGGUUUGUCGCGUCUGCUGUGAAAGACCGGGGCUCAACUCCGGUUCUGCAGUGGGUACGGGCAGACUAGAGUGCAGUAGGGGAGACUGGAAUUCAUGGUGUAGCAGUGAAAUGCGUAGAGAUCAUGAGGAAGACCAGUGGCGAAGGCGGGUCUCUGGACAGUUCCUGACACUGAGGCACGAAGGCCAGGGGAGCAAACGGG